CUUACCUACUCUUGACAUACUUGGGAGCUCUUGUAAUGAGAGUGUGCCUUUUGGAACCAAGAUACAGUUGCUGCAUGGCUGUCGUCAGCUCGUGUCGUGAGAUGUUCCGUUAAGUCGGAUAACGAGCGCAACCCUUACCCUUAUUUGCCAGCGAUUCGGUCGGGAACUAUAAGGGGACUGCCGGUGAUAUACCGGAGGAAGGUGAGGACGACGUCAAGUCAUCAUGGCCCUUACGAGUAGGGCUACACACGUGCUACAAUGGGGAAUACAGACGGACGCUAAGCCGCGAGGUGGUGCUAAUCCUAGAAAGUUUCUCGUAGUCCGGAUUGGAGUCUGCAACUCGACUCCAUGAAGUUGGAAUCGCUAGUAAUCGCGGAUCAGCAUGCCGCGGUGAAUACGUUCUUGGGUCUUGUACACACCGCCCGUCACACCAUGGAAGUGGAUUGCACCAGAAGUAGAUAGUCUAACCUUCGGGUGGGCGUUUACCACGGUGUGCUUCAUGACUGGGGUGAAGUCGUAAUCAGGUAGCC
rnacentral:rRNA from 1 species